GGCAAGUUACAAUUUUCAGAAUCCAUAUGGAAUCUAACCCUGUAAGACAAUGCCAAGAGAGAAAGAAGGAAAACAAAAAACUAAAGGAACACCCCUGCCCAUCGUUCCAAUUCUUCAAAAGUUCCUGAAGACCUAUCAGAAGCAUUGUGCACAGACUCAGACAUCUGUGUGUCCAGCCAUCAAACAGGACUUGAAAACCAGCAUCAACAACGAACAGAUUCUCAGGAAAUUUAUGCUUGUAAGACCUGAUGACUCCCCACCAAGCAUCCUGCCAAUUUCCUUGGAACCUUUGCUCAUGACAAUUCGAGAUGAGUGUUACCUGCUGGGGAAAGAGAUCUGUAUCUGGGCCUUCAGCUGAGUAACCCAGAGAUUGCCAGACUGGUGAGUCAUGCGUUUUAAAAAUAUUCCUUCAAUUAAACUUAAAAUUGAAUAUAAACAUAAUAUAUCUGUAUUCCAGCUAUAGUUCAUUUGGUUAUUGACUGAUAUGCUAUAAGCUUUUCUUUAAAAAUUUCUUUUAAUGUUUAUUUAUUUUUUUAAUUUUUUUUUUUUUAAUUUUUUUUUCAACGUUUAUUUAUUUUUGGGACAGAGAGAGACAGAGCAUGAACGGGGGAGGGGCAGAGAGAGAGGGAGACACAGAAUCGGAAACAGGCUCCAGGCUCCGAGCCAUCAGCCCAGAGCCUGACGCGGGGCUCGAACUCAUGGACUGCGAGAUCGUGACCUGGCUGAAGUCGGACGCUUAACCGACUGCGCCACCCAGGCGCCCCGUUAAUUUACUAUUUUUAAAUGUUCUAAUGUUGUCUAAUGACAAUAUUCUUUUUCUGCAUAUUCAGAUGCAUGGACAUGUCUUUAUGAUUCCCACCUGUAAUUUUUUUCUGACACUCCAGUUUAUGCUUGUAAGACCUGAUGACUCCCCACCAAGCAUCCUGCCAAUUUCCUUGGAACCUUUGCUCUUGACAAUUCGAGAUGAGUGUUACCUGCUGGGGAAAGAGAUCUGUAUCUGGGGCCUUCAGCUGAGUAACCCAGAGAUUGCCAGACUGGCUUCACUUCUGGAAUUGAAGGGGCGCGCCACCUGCCCAUUUACCACCCUGGAACUCAUUGACUGCAGGAUGGAUCUGUGGUCUCUGCAGAGACUGGGCAGGGCUCUGCCAUGCAGCUAUUUGCAUUCUCUUGUCCUGGAUUACUGCAGAUUUGGAAAUGAAGAAAUUGAGAGUAUUUUCUCAGGCCUGGAGAACAACCAAAGGCUUCAAGUCCUCAGUCUGCGCUACUGUGGUCUGGGGCCACAAAGCGGUCAGCGGCUGGGCUCCAUCAUAUGCCAGAGCUCCAUUUGUGAGCUGCACCUUGAUGGCAAUUACUUACAGUGUUCUGGAGCCCUGGCUCUCCUCAGACCCAUAGCAGAGUACGCAGAGAUGCAGGGGGAAGACCAGCCAGACACCAGCAACUCCCCUCAGCAGCUGCAGGCCAAACAGAGGGCAAGUUCAACUUCGAACCGGAUUACAAAGCCAUCUGGUGCUGAAACAGGGAAAACUGCUUCAGGGAAGGAGAGGAGAAAAAAAGGAAUCAAAAAAAUUAAAGAUUCGGCUGGUCCUUGGUUAGUGAAAUUGUAUUUGGCAGAUAAUGGCAUAGAUGGAAAAGGAAAAGAAGGAGAAAAUGGCUUGUUGGAAUUCACGCAAAUUUUAACAUGCCUGAUCAAAUACUCUGCUCACUUAAGGGAAAUUGACCUUGGAAACAAUGUCCUGGGAGAAAUGGCUGCUACUGACAUACUUGAAGCAUUAAGAGCCAGAAAGACAGGAAGCUCCCAGAGAACACAUUUGAGCAAAAUGCGAAUAAACCACAAAGAUGAAGAAUCUAGAAUCCAGAAAUCAGGAGAACCAAUAUAGAAAAGUGGAAAAGAGAGUCCCAGGGGCACCUGACUGGUCCAAUUGGUUAAGUGACUCUUGAUUUUGGCUCAGGUCAUGAUCUCACCAUCUCACCAUUUGGUGUGUGAGACUGAGCCCUCAUUGGUCUCCACGC
ensembl:lncRNA